GAAACCUUUAAAGAAGUCCAGAGAGGCUACUAAGGCUGAUACGGUUUAAAAUGGCAGUAAACUGUCAAUUUUCGUGUAACCUUGCCUCAGGCAAGGUUUUUCUAU
rfam:Streptococcus intermedius B196, complete genome.